rnacentral:antisense_RNA from 1 species
UUCUAUGGGCGGGCGGUGACGAGGGAGCCGCGAGGCUCGCCGGUUUGUUAGUGACGGUCUUCCAACCUUGCCACGCGCCCGCUCACCCGU